CGUGCCUAACACAUGCAAGUCGAACGCUAAAGGGACUUCCGUGCUGAUUACAGAGGAGAACGGGUGAGUAACACGUGGGUGACCUACCCUCGAGGGGGGGAUAACGUUCCUAAUGGGACGCUUAUACCGCAUGACAUUCCUGGUUUGAUGACCGGAACAUCUGAUCCGGGGACCGCCUGGCCUGCUGCUUGAUGAAGGGCCCGCGUCUGAUUAACUAGUUGGUGGGGCAACGGCCUACCGAGGCGACAAUCAGUAGACGGGCUGAGAGGGUCGACGGCCCCGCUGGUACUGAGACACGGCCCAUACUCCUACAGGAGGCAGCAGUGGAGAAUUGUUCGCGAUGGGCGCACGGCUGAAGACACAACGCCGCGUGGAAGAUGAAUGUCUUCAGAUUGUAAAUCUCCUGUUGAACAAGACCAAAAGCUCCAUCCUAAUACUCUGGAUACUGACGGUUCCUGUUGAAGAAGCCACGGUUAAUUCUGUGCCAGCAGCCGCGGUAAUACAAAGGUGGCAAGCGUUGUUCGAAAUUACUGGGCGUAAAGGGCGCGUAGGCGGUCUUCUAAUUUGAACGUGAAAGCUGCGGGUUUAACCUGGGAACUGCUUCCGAUAGUGUAAGGUUUGUAUUCGAGGAGAGGGAUGCAAAUUUUCGUGUGUAGCUGAGAUGUGCGUAUAUAUCUAGGAGGAACACCUGGUGGAGAGACGCUCUUCCUGUAGUAACUAUCACUGUGACUGCGCAAAAGCUAGGGGAGCAAACGAGAUUAGAUACCCCGGUAGUUCUAGCCCUAAACGAUGAGUGCUUGGUGUGGCGGGUAUCGAUGCGUGCCGUGCCGAAGCUAACGCAUUAAGCAAUUCGCCUGGGGAGUUCGGUCGCAAGGCUGAAACUCAAAGGAAUUGACGGGGGGCCGCACAAGCGGUGGAGCAUGUGGUUUAAUUUGACGCAACGCGAAGAACCUUACCUGGGCUUGAACUGUAGAUGACAUCCGGCGAAAGUCGGCUUCUGCAAGGACAUAUGCAGAGGUGGUGCAUGGCUGUCGUCAUCUCGUGUCGUGAGAUGUUGGGGUAAGUCCUGCAACGAGCGCAACCCUCGUCCUCUGUUGCCAUCAGGUUAAGCUGGGCACUUUGAGGAGGCUGCCGGUGAUAAACCGGAGGAAGGUGGGGAUGACGUCAAGUUAGCAUGGCCCUUAUGUCCAGGGCUACACACGUGGUACAAUGGUCGGUACAAAGCGUUGCAAGCCUGCGAAGGUGAGCUAAUUGUAUAAAACCGGUUUCAGUUUGGAUUGUAGGGUGCAACUUGCCUGCAUGAAGUUGGAAUCGCUAGUAAUCGCGGAUCAGCAUGCCGCGGUGAAUACGUUUCCGGGCCUUGUACACACCGCCCGUCACAUCACGAAAGCUGGGUGUCCUAGAAGUAACUGGUCCAACCCGCAAGGGAGGAAGGUUCCUAAGGUAUGGUUAGUGAUUGGGGUGAAGUC
rnacentral:rRNA from 1 species